AUGGGGCGGCUAGGGAACGACCCGAUCGAUCGAGUCGCUGAACUCAUUGACAAUGUGACCGGGACCUGGGAUCUUGAAGUAGUUCGUCGGAACUUUCUCGCGCCAGAUGCGGAGGCCAUAUUGAAUAUUCCUAUCAGGCAAAAUGGUGGAGAAGAUUUUCUGGCAUGGGCCUUUGAACGAUCCGGAGAGUAUACUGUAAAAUCAGCCUACCGUGCUCUUGUGACUCAGAACGAGCGUCGCGCUCUAGAGGAAGGGACGGCAGUGGGAACCUCAUCUUCUCAAAAACAGUUAUGGACUGCUCUAUGGAAGCUCAAAGUGACCCCCAGAGUUCGCGUUUUC
rnacentral:rRNA from 1 species